CAAUAGCGUAUAUUAAAGUUGUUGCAGUUAAAAAGCUCGUAGUUGGAUUUCGGGGUGGCCUGGCUGGUCCGCCGCAAGGUGAGUACUGGUCAGCCGCCCUUCCUCUCGAAAGCCCCGUCUGCUCUUUACUGCAGUGGUCGGGUAGUUCGGGACGUUUACUUUGAAAAAAUUAGAGUGUUCAAGGCAGGCUAUCGCCUGAAUACAUUAGCAUGGAAUAAUGGAAGAGGACCUCGGUCCUAUUUUGUUGGUUUCUAGGGCCGAAGUAAUGAUUAAGAGGGACAGUUGGGGGCAUUCGUAUUUAAUUGUCAGAGGUGAAAUUCUUGGAUUUAUGAAAGACGAACUAGUGCGAAAGCAUUUGCCAAGGAUGUUUUCAUUAA
rnacentral:rRNA from 1 species